rnacentral:rRNA from 1 species
GACGAACGCUGGCGGCGUGCCUAAUACAUGCAAGUUGAGCGCUGAAGGUUGGUACUUGUACCAACUGGAUGAGCAGCGAACGGGUGAGUAACGCGUGGGGAAUCUGCCUUUGAGCGGGGGACAACAUUUGGAAACGAAUGCUAAUACCGCAUAAAAACUUUAAACACAAGUUUUAAGUUUGAAAGAUGCAAUUGCAUCACUCAAAGAUGAUCCCGCGUUGUAUUAGCUAGUUGGUGAGGUAAAGGCUCACCAAGGCGAUGAUACAUAGCCGACCUGAGAGGGGGAUCGGCCACAUUGGGACUGAGACACGGCCCAAACGCCUACGGGAGGCAGCAGUAGGGAAACGUCGGCAAGGGACGAAAGUCUGACCGAGCAACGCCGCGUGAGUGAAGAAGGUUUUCGGAUCGUAAAACUCUGUUGGUAGAGAAGAACGUUGGUGAGAGUGGAAAGCUCAUCAAGUGACGGUAACUACCCAGAAAGGGACGGCUAACUACGUG